rnacentral:lncRNA from 1 species
GAGAGCGAAGAAGCCAGAUCUGUACAGAACGAGGAAAUUACAGUCUUAUUUUAGAAUUUGAAAAUAUGAAGUAUGACCCAUUCUCUCUUUAAAUCUUUGUGAUCCUUCAUAGCUUAUUGUUGUCCUGUUUGCAGAUGAUUAUGAGUAGCCGUAGAGAAUGCCUGCAGGUUGACCUCCGGCAGGCCCUCCAAGGAGGAAAGUUCUGCAGAGCGGGAGGGGAGAAGAAAAUCCAUUGUGAGAAAGGACCUAAAUGAUUUCGUAACCCCAUCCUCCAGCAAAAGUGAAAGUCACAAGGAUAGCUCCUCAAAACCUAUCAAGAUAUCUAGAAGGUCUACCUCCAGCAAAUGUAGCAAGUUUGUAGGUUCAGUUCCGACUCCACCAACUGGCCAGAGUCGUUCCCCUAAAGAUCAAACUGGACAAGGCAAUUCUCUUUGCUCAUGCACAGACUAUCAUGUAUGCUUCAGCGAGGAACCUAUAACUCUCGAGUCAAUCGCACGAAAUUUGUGUCGAUUAUCUCGUUCGAUUGCGAUCAAAAAUACCUCAGACAAGGCAAAAUUAUUGUCUAUUGAAAGCCGAAUAGGAGAAUUGAAUGAAAAAUUCAAGUCCAUGCCCUUGCCCAGACAAGUCAAGUUGAAAUUAAUAAGGAAAUACCUCAAAGCAGUGUUCCUGAGAUAACUCCUACCACUGUGAAAGUUGACGCACCCAUCAAGGAAACAGACCUUAUAUUACAGAAAUUUCCAGUUUCUGAUAUUGCAGAAUUUCACAAAUUGGACGAACAAUUGAAAAAUGAAGCGCUCCGCUCUGCAGUGGCUGGACAAAUGGCAAAUCUAGUCGACGUUAAAGAGACAAGUAAAACUAUCACAGCUCGAAACAUUGUCAAGUAUAUGCUGUCCGCGGACAUCUUAACUCUGAUUUCAUGGAAAGGCCAUACAAGGGACGGCAUCAGUAAAGUUAGUUUCUUCAACACCAACUUUCGAAAGCUUCUGAUCGAUUGCCUGUUAAACAUGUACAGAAUGACGGAGGGUAGAACCAUGGCCGCUGCGGAUUGGUUUGGACCUUCUAAUCAGAAGAAAAUGUGCGCCAGUGUGUCCACAUCUGUCAGUCAGUCCUUCUCGCAAAUUCAUAGGAAAGACGAGAAGAAAUCGAAGAAAUCGUCCCGGAAAUCUAAAUCCAGAAGGGCCCGAUCGAGCAGCUCGGGCUCCCCGUCAACUGCAUCCUCUCGUGAAUCGUCUGGCUCUUCUUCCUCUACUUUACCAUCAAGCCGAAAAAGAAGACAUCAUAGCAAUAAGGGUAAGAAAUAUCCUUCAAAGAAGAAAUCAGUGAGACAUAGCAGAUCCCGUACCAAAAGCACGUCAACAUCAGAAACCCGAAGCAUAGUUGAUUCGGAAUCUAUUUUGACAGAGCAGCCUGUUUUGGAAAAUCCCUAAAGUUACUAACAAGAACUCAGUUUUGUUGAGACAGUGGAUAUUAUAGUAUUUAUAUUUUGACUUUGUGAUUCAUGGACCUAAGGUACUUGAAUCAAUGUUAUUUUUUUUAUUUUUGAUAUUCAUACACUUUUUUUUCUUAGUUUAAAACUAUUUGUGAUAAUGAAGUUGAUUGAUCUCUGAGAUUUUCAACUAACAAGGGGAACUUACGGACCUGCCGCCUCCCUUGUAAGGCGAUCUCUCUGUCCAAGUAUUUUGGUUCUUAAUUUU